rnacentral:tRNA from 1 species
UCCGGGAUAACGUAAAGGGCAGAGCACGUCGCGCUUUGGCCGCGAAGAUCGGGGUUCGAAUCCCUGUCCCGGAA